CACGCCCUAAACUAUGAUGACUAGAUGUUGGUCCUUCGGGAUCAGUGUCGUAGCUAACGCGUUAAGUCAUCCGCCUGAGUAGUACGACCGCAAGGUUAAAACUCAAAUGAAUAGACGGGGGCCCACACAAGCAGUGGAUCAUGCGGUUUAAUUCGAUACUGAACGAGGAACCUUACCCAGACUUGAUAUCUAGAAAACCCUGUAGAAAUAUGGGGGUGCCCGCAAGGGAAUUCUAAGACAGGUGC
rnacentral:rRNA from 1 species